rnacentral:tRNA from 1 species
AUUUAGAUAGUUUAAUUUAAAAUAAUGAUUUGUGGGAUCAAAGAUAUAAAUAUAAGUUUUAUUCUAGAUU